rnacentral:tRNA from 3 species
CGGGGCGUAGUACACCGGUAGUAUACGCGAUUCGGGUUCGCGAGAACCGAGUUCGAUUCUCGGCGCCCCGACCG